GAAAAGACAAAAUUAGCAUCACUGUGCAAACAAGAAAGACAGUUUACAUUAUAUCACAAAUGCUAUCUAUCCAAAGACUAACACUAAAUUUUCUCUUCAGAGUGUGGACCUGAAAAUCAAGUACUACAGAGACACAAGAUACCCUCAGCAUACCCAGGACACCUCUCAGGUGGCAAGCAUUCGUAAAGCAGCUUCUGAGCACAAAGCAACCACCAUUAAUAAAUGGUCACGCAUUUAUGUGGUCACUAAUAAAUAAACAUACAUGGAUAUGUUAAGUUGCAUAGGAAGGUAGGAAGUAGCCAGGCCUGGAUGCACAGAUAUUGUCUCAAAAAACUGAAACCGUAUUGCUUUGACAGUGUACUUCAAAGGUGUGCUACCACUGACACACUAACCUUCACUGUUCUGACAAUCUACUUUUGAUCUUUUUUGGUUUAAAAGAAAAAAGAUCUAUCACCACUUACAAGACUGCAUGUGUACAAGACUUCAUGUUGUUCAUGCCAUUCCCAAUUUCUUCUGCCCAUUAUAAUUUUCUAUAAAGACAGGGUCUCAAAAUAAAAACUUGCUGCUUUUCCAGAGGACCCAGGUUCAAUCCCCAGGACCCACACAGCAGCUCACAACUGUCUGUAACUUUACUUCCAAGGGGAUACAAUGCCUACUUUUGACAUCAGACAUCCAAGUAGUGCAUAGAUUUACAUGCAGGCAAAACAAUCAUAACCAUAGAUUUUAAAAAAUGUUUGUUACAUGUAUCUAUUUGUGUGUAUUGUGUGCACGUAUCAGUGCGUGGAGGGCUUAUUGUGUAAAGAGCAGCUUUCAAGAGUCAGCUCUUUCCACCAAGAGGGUCCUAGGGACAACUCAGGUCCCCAGGCUGGGCAGCAAGCACCUUUACUCACUGAGCCUCGUGGCUGGCCCUUAACUAGUAUUUUCCAACUUUGUGAGUAACAGGAGUCCUAUUAAAAGUGGCAAAAGGGAGCCAGAGGCAGGAGUAUACAGUUUGCUGGUACAACACUUGCCUAGCAUACCUAAGUCACAGUGUUUGAGUCUCCGUACCAAAAAGAACAGGGGAGGAGACCAUACACAAGAAAAAUGGCAUUUCAGAAUGGCAGGUGUAAAAAAAGGAAAAAGAAAGAAAGAAAAAAAUUACACACAGAGUUACAUGUUGUGUGGUGUGUGGGUCUAUAAACCAGCACUUGGAAGGUGAAGAAAUGAAGAUCAGGAAAUCAAGGUUAGUCUUGGCUACAAAGGGAGUUCAAAGCCAGCACUGUUGGUUUUUUCAAGUCCUGUCUCAAGUCAAAACCAACUAACCAAAUAACUCUUUAAAAAAAAAUCCAUAAAAGCAAACAGAGUGAUGGAUGAGGAAGACCUGAAAACAGUGUCUAAUAAAUUAUUCUAAUGGGUAUAGUAGGUUAAAGAUAACAAGAAAACAAGAAUAGUGUAUGCAAGACACUGAAAAACAUUCCCUUUCUGUCAGGACUCUAUGAUCAGUUUAAGGCAGUUCCUUAUUCUUAAGCAACUUCCCUAUCUUUGUUGUGGUUAGACAGUCAACAUUCAGCAGUCCCAUCGUAGUCAACGCUUGCUGGCUAUGUUGGAUAUAACAACAGUUAUACACAAUUACAUACAUUAAGUACCGAGUCAAUAACACAGAAUGAAAAUAAACCCUGCUGUUGCUGAGGAAGAUGGACCUAUGGAGACGGUCAGAAAAGGCUAGAAAGAGAGUCUGGGAGCAGCACCUGAUCUAGUCCUUCCUGUGACUAGAAAUGGUGCCUUGUGCCAUGCCAAGCAAAUACUCUACCACAGAGCUACAGACACAUUACUCUUUACUGUUAUUAAUAUUUAUUUUGAUUGUUUUAAUUGUGUAUCAAGAUGGCUCAGCAGGUAACGGCACUUGCCUGACAGAUGGGUCCCUUGGCAGAAGCUGUUCUUAGGCACACACAUCGUGCGUGUAAUAGAGGAGAUAAGCACUUUCCCCCUGCACUAUUCCCUGGCUUUAGCAUCCGAAGGAUUUCAUAAUGACAUCUUCUAGGAGUUAUGGCAUGAUGAUCCACCCCUAAAAUUCUAGCAUCUGAGAGGCUAAUGCAGGCAGACUGCUUAUCUUAAGACCAUUCUGGGCUCCAGGAUGAAAGCCUGUAUUGACAGACAUAUUUAUUCUUUUGGCAGCCAGGUAUCACAAUAUUUAUGUAGCCCAGAGUGACCUGGAAUUUACCAUGUAACCCAGGCUAGCCUUGAACCUUUAAUCCUCUUGCUUCAGCCUCUAGUAGAUAGUGACUACAGGUAUGUACCAAUAUCCAGGGAACAUUCUGCUUUUGACAUGGUGUUGUGAUUAUGGCAAAAAAGCAUCUUUGGCAGUGAAGAAACAGUCCUGGCUGUCCUAGAACUUACUCUGUAGACCAGGCUGGCCUUGAGCUCACAGAGAUCCACCUGCCUUUGUCUCCCAAGUGCUGGGCUUAAAGGCAUGCAUCACCACCACCUGGCAAAAUUUCUAAAAAAAAAGAGUUGCAAGAACUGAUAUAAUAUUCACGACAGAAGACAGGCACCUGAUAGCUAUUAUACUAGGGCUCAAAACGAGUCUGGGCAACACAGCAAGACCUACUUCAAAAACAAGUUAAGAGUCUGGUCAAUCCUCUGGCCCUGGACAUUCACACACCACCACAGCACCCACACAUCUGAGGCUCUUCAGAAGGUGACACUAGCCUAUGGGUAUUGUCUUAGGGGAAAAGCUUCCUGUAGUGGAAUGUGACAGGGAUAAGGGAGAGCAGCCUUGUUACUAGGAAGCUGUGACCUCGUGUGGACCUCCAGGGCUGAGUCAAGUGCUUCGAUGACAAACAUGAUGGAGGACCAAUACAACAUGGAUAUAAACUACAGGUCACUCACCACUGGAAUUCAUGAUGAUCUCUGAGACUGAAAAAUAUAACCUGUGCUACUGUGAGAAAUGGUUUUCUUUCAUCAGAUAGUUUGCCACCAAGGGCCAAUAGUCUUCACCCACCUUGCAAAAUUCAUAUGCACUUCUUUUAAUCUCGACCUUUCCCUCCUCGCAGAACUUGACCAGUAGUAGCUGACUCCUCCCCCUCUCCUCUCUGCUGGUUCUUUUUAAACUAGCCAAUGGCAAAGGACUGUGACAGACCCCAGUCAAUGGGGAAAAAACAGUUACCAUAUGAGUUAACAUAAAAACCAAGUAAGCCAGGCGGUGGUGGCGCAUGCCUUUAAUCCCAGCACUCGGGAGGCAGAGGCAGGCAGAUCUCUGGGAGUUCGAGGCCAGCCUGGUCUACAAGAGCUAGUUCUGGGACAGGCACCAAAGCUACAGAGAAACCCUGUCUCGAAAAAAAACCAAAAAACCAAACCAAAACAAAAAAACCCAAGUGAAUGCUUGUUUGGAGGUUCUAGCAGGGGAACGCAGCUACUCAUAUACCCAUUACCUAAAAAAGGUCCUCCUUUAUUCAGUGGAGGUCAACCAAACCCACAUGGAGCAGUGAAGGAGGAAGGGGACACCUGCCUAGCUAGCCAGAUCAAUCCUGGUGAUCAAUGGGGUGACAGAUGUCACAGCUAGAUUGCCCUCACAUCCUAACUGGGCAGUGGUGGCACAUGCCUUUAAUCCCAGCACUCGGGAGGCAGAGGGAUCUCUGUGAAAUCAAGGCCAGCCUGGUCUACAAAGUAAGUUCCAGGACAGCCAGGGCUGUUACAGAGAAACAAAAAACAAAAGGGGGGGGCACAGAUGCAAAUGUGAACAACCCCCACCCCCAGCCCCCAGACACAUGACUCAAGUGAACGUCCUGCCCUAGCUGCUUGCUAGCCUGGGUUGGAUUCUAGCCCACACUAUACUCAAAAAGAAUUGCCUUGCUGAACUGCUUCUGCUUUGUGUGUGUUUCUUUGUGGGACACUGAGAUUAUUCUAAGACACUGAAACUUCAUUACGCUUGGCAUACUGCUUCAUCUCAGCAAGCAAAACAUUAAAGAAACUGUUGUAAGCUCCACACGAUGUGCUACACACAGUGCUGUGAAGCAGAGAAACGCUCUCAAAGGUAAGGGAGAGCACACAAAAACAUGUGUAGUGAAUUCAGGGUUUCCUAGAUAGGUAACGAUAUCCUGUCUAAAACAAACAAAACAAAGCUAGGACACUGUUAAUGUGAAUUUAAUUCUAACCAAUGAAAGAAAACCAACUAACAAAAUAGAAAUCUGAGAAUCCCAGCCAGGCAUUGAAGGGAACUUGCACAAUAGGUUUUGAGAAAGCUAAUUCAAAAGACUCAGAGAAGAGAUAGAACCCAAAUAGUAGGGGUUCAAAGUAAACCAAAGAGAGGGGUUGCAGAAAUGGCUCAGCAACCAUGCUCUGAAGAGCAUGUGAGUUCAGUUCAUGGGGCAGCUCACAACUGCCUGGAACUCCGCCUCUAGGGGACCUGACACUCUCUUCCAGCUUCUGAAGACACCUGCACACUUAUGGUUCAAAAACACACACUCAAGCAUAUACAAAUACAAUCAAAUAAAUAAUCAAAUCUUUAAGGGGGUGGUAGCAAAGGGAAUUCAAGAAGAAAUUCCAAUAUAAUCAUUUAUGACCUCCAGUGGGAAUAAGGAGCAUUUUUUACUUUGUCUUAAGGAUACUAGUGAGCUCAAAGAUCACUGAGCAUCAUAAAAAGACCCUGAUAAACCUGGAAUGUCAGUGGAUGCCUGUAAUCCCAUCAUGUGGUAGGUAGAGGCAGAAGGAUCAAGGUUAACACCAGGGUUAUACAGUGAAUUCAAGGCCAGCUGAGCUACAUGAGAUCCUGUCUCAAAAAUAAAUAGUAAUAAAAAAAAAAUGUGAGCUGGAGACAUGGAUCAGUCUGGCUGCUGUUCCAGAGGACCCAGGUUCAAUUCUCAGCAUUCGCUUGGCAGUUCACAACUAUCUGUAACUCCAGUUCCAGAUCUGACACCUUCUGGCAUCCUCAGGUACCAGGGACACAUGUGGUGCACACGCAUACUUAAAGGCACAAAUAUACAUAAACAAGUAAAAAUUUUAAAAAGAGCAGGCAUCAAAGAUAAAAGGUAAUCGUGAGCUAGUAAGAACAGACUGAUGACUUAAGUACUGGCCAAGCACUUGGCAAACAGAGUAAGAGUCCAAGACUGUUCUGUCAGAGAACACUCUUUGUGACACCAGAAGACAAUGGUCUACUAAAGUAAGGUCAAGUCAUUUGGUUUGCGUCAAAUAGGGAGAUGGUAAAUUCUAUAGGUGAGCGAGCGUGAAACCAAACCUAAACAAAAUGACGGAAAAGAUUAGCAAACAAAAGACACCAGGGGAGAAGUCACGCAGAAGUCUUUAAUAAAAAGAUCUAAAUGUUUCUUUCUGAAAUCUCUUGGGUGAGGGGACGGUGCAGAUGUUUGCUUAACAUGCACAACACCCGGGCUUUGGUUCCUAGUACCACACACACAUACCUAGUACAAACUAGUAAAAACUAGUGCUGGCUAGUUUUUACAUUGACUUGACAAAAACUAAAGCUAUCAGAGAAAAAGGAGCCUCAAUUUAAAAAAGUCUCCAAAAUAUUGGACUAUGGGCCAGCCUGUAGGGCAUUUUCUUUUUUUUUCUAAAAAAGAUUUAUUUAUUUAUUUAUUUAAUUUAUUUAUUUGUUUGUUUGUUAUGUGUAACAACAAUCUGCCUCCAUGUAUGCCUGAACGCCAGAAGAGGGCGCCAGAUCUCCGUACAGAUGGUUGCGAGUCACCAUGUGGUUUCUGGGAAUUGGACUCAGGACCUUUGGAAGAGCAGCCAGAGCUCUUAACCACUGAGUCAUCUCUCCAACCCCUAAGAAAUAUACUCUUUUUUUGUUUUGCUUUUCAAGACAGGGUUUCUCUGUAGCUUUGGAGCCUGUCCUGGAACUAGCUCUUGUAGCCCAGGCUGGUCUGGAACUCACAGAGAUCCACCUCGCCUCUGCCUCCCUAGUGCUGGGAUUGGCAUUUUCUUAAUUAGUGAUUGAUAUGGGAAGGACCAGUCCAUUGUGGUGUUGCUAUUAGGCCUGGGCUAGUGGUCCUGGAUUUUGUAAAAGCAGGCUAAACAAGCUAUGUGGAGCAAGCAGGUAAGCAGCACUCUGAAUCAGCUCUUGUACCUCCAGGUUCCUCCCUUGAGUUCCUGCCCUGACUGCUAACACAUCAACAGUGACAACAGUGACAUAUAAUUGAAACAACCAGCCACCCACAUUGCUUUUCAUCAUAGUGUUACAUCUUAGCAACAGAAACCCCAACUAAGACAAAAAACAAAAAACAAACAAACAAACAAAAAAGUCCACGACUGUAACCCCAGCACUUGGGAAGUGGAAACAGGAGGAUCAGAAGUUCAAGGUCAUAGAGGUCCUACAUUAGCAAAACAAAACAUACCAAUCUUUCUCAGCCAAAAACAGGACCAGCAAUUAAGGUGGAGGAUGUAGGGCCUUACUCGUCUCCAGUCCCUGGAGCUGGGUGUGGUGUGCACCUCCUAGCGACUUGGGAGGUUAAGACAGUAUUUUCUUCUUCUUUUUUUUCUUAUUUUAUAUGCAUUGGUGUUUUGUUUGCAUGUUUGUCUAUGUGAGGGAGUCAGAUCUCUUGGAACUAGAGUUACAGACAGCUGUGAGCUACCGUGGGGCUGCUGGUAAUUGAACCUGAGUCCUCUGGAAGGUCUUAACCACAGAGCCAUCUCUCCAGUCCAAACCCAGAAUUUCAAGACCAGACUGGGCAACACGAGAAGGACCCGUCUCCAAAACAAAAGAAAACAAAGCAUAAAGCUACAUAAGCACAGGAAGGGGACAGAUAAUAUUCCCAAUAGGAAUGGUUCCUGAUAGUCAGAAUGCAAGAACAUGUUAACUAACAAAAAUAGCAGCCCAGAACUAAUUCACCCUAUAAAGCUGUUCCAUGAGUUCUACAAGGAGAGAAGCCUUUGGUUUUGUUCACUAUAGUAUCUCAAGUUCCUGUCUGUCACCAUCCUAAGAGUCAAUCUGCUGUAGAAGCAAACAUGUUAUGUAGCAUCAUCCAAAUCAAGACUGAAGGUCAGUGGAGCUGGACAAUGUAGAAAGUCAGAAAACCUGGGCUAAGCAUUAAGCAAUCAUCAAAACUUCAUUUCUGCUUGACUUUGACCAAGUCUGCUCUAAAUCACUUUGGGUAUUACUUGAAGCUUGACAUUGAUACUCUCAUCUACAGAUUGGAUCCUCCUGACUGACUUUUGUAGAACACUGAGAAACUGGUUGUUUCAUACUUCAAAUAAAAGCAAUGCCAAGAAAAAUGUAAAUCUUAUUAGCUCUCUUGUAAUAUGUGAAAACCUGCUCCCCUGCUGUCUUUGGCCACACUGGCCCUUUACCCAACCUGCGCUCUAUGUGCAUUUACUGACGAUUACUAGUAGUGUUUCAAGGCCCUUCCUGCAGACUCUUUCCCCCGCCUUCCCUGGUUCACCAGCUAGCUGUAGUCAUCCUUCAAAAUUCAAUCCCAGAGUUACGUUCUCCACGAAGCUUUUUCAGACCACCUGCCUCUCCCGGCUCCCCCAGUCUCCCUUUCUUCACAGUGGCCAGCUCCUUGGAUGUCACCACUUUAGUUAGUUAUAUGAAUGGACAGUUAAUGGACAAAUAUCAAUACUUCCAGCCAGGUUUCUUAGAGAACUUAUGAAAUUUGCCCAAAACUAUAUCCAUAAAAGCCAGGAUGUAAAACAGGCCCACACUACUUCCCUACCUUGCUUCUCAGACUAGUAGCUCUGACUCCAAAUACUCUGUAACAACAGCACUCUUGCUCCAACUAUUGUCUUCUGAUUAGAGAGAGAUCCUUUAGGCGGCUCAGCAGAAGCUUAAUCAUGUCAGGCAGCUCACAACUGCCUCAAACUCCAGCGCCAUGGGAUCUGACUCUGACACCCUCUUCUGGCCUUCAGGUGUACUACACACAAGAUCUUUUGAAAAGGGCAGGCUAGAUUGAGUCCCUCAGUCUGGGAACUUUCCUGCGGUGUAGGAUGGGCUUUCAUAACAGCCCUCUGUGGCUCCACGGAGGUCAACGGAGAGCUCUACUGUCUUUUUUCCUUUCCUCUCUCUUUCCUUCAUACUGGAGAUUGAAACUACCACUCAAUGACAUCCCAACUUUUUUUUUUUUAAACUUUUUGGGACAAGGUCUGAGUUGCCCAGGAUGGUCUUAACCUUUUUAUCGUCCUGCUUCAGCCCCUCAAGUAGCUGGAAUUGCAGGCCUGCACCAACAGACCUGGUUAGCUCAGCUGCCAAGGAGUGAGGACACACAUUUACACUUCUCUUAUACAUGUCACUUCAUGAGAAGCAAGAGGAAAAUAGCUAACACUUUUUAAACUGUCUCUAUUGCAGGGAAUUUUUUUGAAAGUCGACUUAUUUAAACUUUGUAAUGCUGGAAAUCAAACUGAGGGUUGAUCUACAUUCCCACCCUCAAAUAUGUUUACAAGGAAAAACAAAAGAACAGAACUUUGUGAAAUAAUUAGGGUUACUGCUCACCAGCGCUAUCAUUCUUCCCUUGCUGCCCAAGGGGAUAAAGAAGUCCCAGUUACUGGUACAUUUUGCCCUACUUUUGUCAAUGUUCCUCCCUCAACUUAAUUUUAAUACUUUCACUAAUAACCUAGUUGGAGCAGUCCCAAGAGAGAACUGUUUUCUUUAACAAGAUCAGACAGGCAUUACUAUCCAAAUAGUUUUAGAAGACAGCACAAGCAAAGGAACAUUUAUUUCUUAUGCUAUAGCCAACAGCUUGAUUAGAAACACCCUCACUGGAGCAGUAAAGGUCUUUUAGGUUCCACUAAUAGAGUCUUGCAGUGAAUCACCAAAUAAAGCCUGUGAUGAUGGUUUGGUGACAGCUGGGUCAGCAUCAGGAGAACUGGAGUUUGAGAGGGUAGGGGAGCUGUGUAACCACCAACUAUGUUUGUUAUCUUAAAAUAUACAUCAUUAGUCUGGCUCUCUUAAAAAGCUCCAGGCCAUCCCUCUGUAACACCACCUUCCAGCCCUACUCUGAACAUACCAAGGAAUGCAUCCAUACAGCAGAUACCAUCUAAAACUUUCUCUUAGAAUCAAAGAUCAAGCUAGGCAUACUUAGUGUAUUCUCAUAAUCUUAGCAUUCAAGGAUGCUGAGGCAGAAGGACAGUCAACAGAGUUGAAGGCUAGCCUGGAUGCAUAGUGAAAUCAUGUCUAGAAAACAAAACAAAACAGAAUCAGAGUUGAAUGAACCAGUGCCUGAAAGGGUGAAAGCACUUUCUGUAUUCUGAGUUCUAUUCUGAGAUGACAACUAUCUCAAAAGGCUGAAGCAAUAAGGCAAACAAGAUGGUACUUCAUUUGUUUUGAUUCUCUGAGUCAGGGUCUCCUAUUAUCUAGCCUGGCUCCUAUUCCUGCAUCUAUCUCUCUAGUACUGGGAUUACAAAGAUCUAUGGGUGAGAUGUGGACCAGUCAAGAGGGGUGUAUAGAGGAUGGAGAGAUGCCUCAGCAGUUAAGAGCACUGGCUGUUCUUCUAGAGGACCCGAAUUUAAUUCUUACCCCUAUGUGGUAGUUCACAAUCACCUAUAACUCUAUUUCCAGGGGAUCCAACACUUCCAUUUGGUUUCCAAGAGCACUGCAUGUACACGGUGCACAGACAUAUGUAAAGGAGACAUAUGGGCAAAACACCAUACAUACAAAAUAAUAAUAAAGAUGAUGAUGAUAAAAGGGCCAGGUGUGAUAGCAAAUGCCUUGGGCAGCAAAGGCCUGGUCUAUGUAGCAAGUUCCAGGACAGCCAGACUACAUAAUGAGAUCCCAUCUCUAAGAGGGGUGUGUGUGUGUGUUAGACAGAAAAGAGAAAGAGAGAAAGGGAGAGGGAGGAAAAAGGGAGAGUGAGACACACUUGUUUGAUGGUGGUAGAAGUCUCAUCAGUCAAUUAGACUUCAAAUCCUCACUCCUCCUGCCUCGGCCUCUUGAGUGCUGAAAUUACAGGCAAGUGCCACCUUGCCUGGCCCUUAUUCUGGUUUCUUUCCUGUUCUAAACAUAACUGGAUCUCUCCUCAAUCCUGGUCCCUGAUGUAAGCUGCAACCACAAGGCAACCACUCUUUUUUUCUAGUCAAAAGAAGAGAUACAGGGCUGGAGAGAUGGCUCAGAGGUUAAAAGGACUGGCUGCUCUUCCAAAGGUCCUGAGUUCAAUUCCCAGCAACCACAUGGUGGCUCACAGCCAUUUGUAAUGGGGUCUGGUGCACUCUUCUGGCCUGCAGGCAUACACACAGACAGAAUAUUGUAUACAUAAUAAAUAA